UACGUAGGGGGCAAGCGUUGCUCGGAAUUACUGGGCGUAAAGGGCGCGUAGGCGGCACGGCAAGUCAGGAGUGAAAGCCCUGGGCUCAACCCGGGAACUGCUUUUGAAACUGCCGAGCUAGAGUGCGGAAGGGGCAACUGGAAUUCCCAGUGUAGCGGUGAAAUGCGUAGAUAUUGGGAAGAACACCUGAGGCGAAGGCGGGUUGCUGGGCCGACACUGACGCUGAGGCGCGAAAGCCAGGGGAGCGAACGGG
rnacentral:rRNA from 1 species